GGAGCGAAGAAUUUGGACAGCAAAAUUGAGGAGAAUGCUGAAACACCUGCCCUGGAGGACUCCUUGUCAUCCCCUCUCGAGAGCCAGCAGCAGUGCUGGCAGGUCGCCACAGAUAUUGAAAACACUGAAAGAGACAUGCGAGAAAUGAAAAACCUUCUUAGCAAACUCAGGGAAACGAUGCCUUUACCACUGAAAAAUCAAGAUGACAGCAGCCUUCUGAAUCUAACGCCCUACCCCAUGGUCAGAAGACGGAAGAGAAGGUUCUUCGGCUUAUGUUGUCUUGUCUCAAGCUAGGUGGCUUCCCCGGAAACUCACCGCCAAGAUCACCUGAGAAACACCACAGAACCGUAAGACCUCCACACCGCGGAACACCGAGACCGGUUUUGACCAUGUUUUCUAUGCUCCCUUGUUACUUUUAUCUGCCUCUCCCUGCCAUUUUAAAUGAUUUCACACUUGAAAGCAGCUGCCAUCAAGGAAAAGAGAAAGAAAGAAAGAAAGAAAGAAAGAAAGAAAGAAAGAAAGAAAGAAAGAAAGAAAGAAAGAAAGAAAGGAAGGAAGGAAGGAAGGAAGGAAGGAAGAAAGAAAGAACAGAUUCAAAGAGGUGCAGCCUGUUUUUAAAGGGAGUUUUAAAAAGUUGACAUUGUGCAUGUCUGCUCUGAACCAUGCCGUGACAGAUGCAAGAAAUUUGAUUUUUAAAUUAUUUAAAGGUUUUUUAAAAAUGUAUUAUACAGAAAAUUAUUUCACAUAUAAUAGUAUAUCUGUAACUCUUGCUGAUAUCAUGUUAACGAUUUAUCGGAUAUAAAAGAUGUCUCUAAAUAUAGAAAUCUAUUUAAAACAGCAAAACUGUUCAAGAAUCCAAUCUAUGAGUAUCAUUAGAAAUAUUAUAACCAAACACACGCCACCUCACGCGUUGCUGUCUCUGCACUCAUUUCCAUUUAGUCUUCCAUUCUGUCAGAAUCGCUAAGUAUCAACAUCAGAACAUCUUAAUUUAUAAUGCAACAGAGUCAUAUAUGAAAAAUACAUUUUGUAAAUACACAGUAAUCCUACUAUCUUCAAACAAUGCAUAUGGGUAGCUAACUUUCUUUUAAUCCAAUGGUGUCUUUUUAAGCUUCUUGGGAAAUGAAGUUAUCCGGUUAAGAAAUGAUGUAGUAGCAUAAACAAUUACCCUCAGAUGUAAAAUUCAAUAUUAUCACAUUUUGUUUGAAUUGAAACCUGAAGCAUGGGUCCACACAUCAGCAUAGUGUUAAAUCUUAUAGGGCAUGCUGGAAUUAGCUCAGAUCAUAAAACUAUUUAACAUUUUACAUUAUUAAUGAAAAAAGAUGUUUUAGUUAAGCUUAGCUUGUCUCAUUUUAGAUGACUAUGCAGAUAUGACUUUUCCAAUGUGUAUUCUGUGUCCUGUCUUAUGCUUGGACUCUCGAGAACGGGACACAUUAAGCAAUACUGUAUUUUAGAAAAGAGGGAGCCACACGCUGUGUUGUUCUGCUCAUGGCUCUGCUGCGCUCUUUUCCCACGAACUUGUAAUAUGCUACAAAUCCUGUUUUAUUUCCUCCUGUCCUUCCUUUGACCCUUCCCCCCACCCCCAAUGAAAUUUCCCAGGAGUCUUUGCACUUUUGUUCCCUGUUCUGACAGAUCUCCGAGUCAGACCAGAGGCACAGGUGUCCAAUCUUAAGAGGGACAGACUAGCUGCCUGCAAGUGGCUUUAAUCCCAGCCUUGGGGAGGCACUUAUUUGUACAUUAAUAUUCUGGCCUAAAAACUAAAUACUUUUAAAGCCUUUCACUUUAUGGAAGAUGGAGAGAGCAUGGACAAUUGUUGUAUUAGGUUGAAUUCUAUGAAAUGGCUGAUAUUUGACUGUUUUGAUCUAUAUUUUUAAAACCAGCAAUUUCACAUAGUUCAACCUAAAAUCUGCAAAGAAACAGCUCUUGGAAUUUUCUCCUAUAUUUAUGUAUCAAAAGUGAAAGAAUUCUGGGAUGGAAGAGAUCUCCAAAGUCUAUGAUUGGUCUUCAUUUCAAUUCCACUAGUUGCUGUCGACCAUAUUCUUGGUACCCCACCCCCACCCCUUACUAUGCUGCACUAAGCUGGUAGCUAAUGUACUGUUACUAGUAAGACUGGAUUCAGUGAGAGAAGGACUUUUGACAAGUUAUAUGAGACAAUUAUAACUUUCUGAAUGGAAUGUUCAUGAAACAAUGGAAAGAAUUAUUUAAAGACUCCUCACAAGGAACUAUUCCCAACUCUCCUAUCCUGCCAUCUUGAAUAAAGCCUACUCUUCUCUCCUGGUUGCAGGUCAUUUCAAGUUAGUUAAGUUCCAAGGUUAUCUCAUUUCUCAUUUAUGAGCUAUUAUUUCUAAAUUGGCAUGAUCUCGGCUCCUGUCUCUGUUGUUUCCCACACUCUGACUGGAUUGAACGCUUAGCUUCAGCCUCAUUCCUAGCAAUCCAUGCAAAUGGACUAACUGACAAGCCUGGGGUGCGGGGCACGCUCUUGUGGAUGCCCGACCUAAACCUCUGACCUAAACCUCUCCUGCUUCUUUCAUUUGUCCCAGCUCUCUCCUUAGUCUCAGCGUGACGACAACACCUUCUGUGCAAUUGUCCUUUGUACAACUGAAGACUGUUAAAAAAAAAAAAAAAUUCAGGUCUCACCUCCAUGUCUGAGAAGGCCGUGAGAGCUAUUCAUGGAGAUGGGAAUUUGUCUAAUUACCUAGCCAGACUUUGCAUAUCUGAGGUAAUAAAGUCGACCACCUUAUGUUUUAUUCAGUGCCUGGUUUCCAGCCAUUGCUCAAUUUUAUAGUUCCCAUAGAUAGAUAUACUCCAAGAUCUAUGGAUGUUCUUUCAGUAGCAGGUCCGAAAGCAGCAUUAACAAUCAAGGUUCUGGUACCUGUGCGGGCUCAUGGUUGCCUUGGGCAACUCACCACCUCCCCUUUUAAUUUAACUUGUUUUAGAAGAGUUAAGACCCUGGAGGAUAUGCCAAGUGCAUCCUCUAGGAUGCCCCUCUCUCCUCUAACCUGCCAAAGGACUUCCUUAGGUGUGGGUCCACCAGAUAAAGUUCUGCUCCCUCCCUCUGCUCCUUGCAGGAAAUGGUCUUUGCCCUCAACAGAAGCAUCCAGCUGAUCUGUAAGGGUCUGAGGAAAACGCUGAAUAUUCUCUCACAAACCCAUGUGU
rnacentral:lncRNA from 1 species